rnacentral:rRNA from 1 species
CCCGCUGAACUUAAGCAUAUCAAUAAGCGGAGGAAAAGAAACUAACAAGGAUUCCCCUAGUAACUGCGAGUGAAGCGGGAAAAGCUCAAAUUUAAAAUCUGGCGGUCUUUCGGCCGUCCGAGUUGUAAUCUGGAGAAGCGUUUAUCCGCGUUGGACCGUGUACAAGUCUUCUGGAAGGGAGCGUCAUAGAGGGUGAGAAUCCCGUCUUUGACACGGACUACCAAUGCUUUUGUGAUGCGCUCUCGAAGAGUCGAGUUGUUUGGGAAUGCAGCUCAAAAUGGGUGGUAAAUUCCAUCUAAAGCUAAAUAUUGGCGAGAGACCGAUAGCGAACAAGUACCGUGAGGGAAAGAUGAAAAGCACUUUGGAAAGAGAGUCAAAAAGUACGUGAAAUUGUUGAAAGGGAAGCGCUUGCAACCAGACCUGCCUGCAGUUGCUCAUCCGGGCUUUUGCCCGGUGCACUCUUCUGCUGUCAGGCCAGCAUCAGUCCGGGCGGUCGGAUAAAGGCUUCGGGAAUGUAGCUCCUCUCGAGGAGUGUUAUAGCCCGUUGCGAAAUGCGGCCAGCCUGAACUGAGGUCCGCGCUUCGGCUAGGAUGCUGGCGUAAUGGUUGUAAGCGGCCCGUCUUGAAACACGG